AUUGAACGCUGGCGGCAUGCCUAACACAUGCAAGUCGAACGAGUGGCGGACGGGUGAGUAAUGUCUGGGAAACUUCCUGAUGGAGGGGGAUCACUACUGGAAACGGUAGCUAAUACCGCAUACCAUCGGAUGUGCCCAGAUGGGAUUAGCUAGUAGGUGGGGUAAUGGCUCAACUAGGCGACGAUCCCUAGCUGGUCUGAGAGGAUGACCAGGCACACGGGAACUGAGACACGGUCCAGAGUCCUAGGGGAGGCAGAAGUGGGGAAGAUUGCACAAUGGGCGCAAGCCGGAGACAGCAAUGCCGCGUGUGUGAAGAAGGCCUUAGGGUGGUAAAGUACUUUCAGCGAGGAGGCGUUACUCGAAGAAGAAGCACCGGCUAACUCCGUGCCAGCAGCCGCGGUAAUAC
rnacentral:rRNA from 1 species